CCUACGGGUGGCAGCAGUGGGGAAUAUUGGGCAAUGGGCGCAAGCCUGACCCAGCAACGCCGCGUGAAGGAAGAAGGCUUUCGGGUUGUAAACCUCUUUUUAUAGGGAAGUGCAGUGUACGGUACCUCUUGAAUAAUCCACGGCUAACUAAGUGCAAGCAGCCGCGGUAAUACGUAGGUGGCCAGCGUUGUCCGGAUUUACUGGGUGCAAAGGGCGUGCAGGCGGGAAGAUAAGUCAGAUGUGAAAUCCUGCGGCUAAACCGCGGAACUGCAUUUGAAACUGUUUUUCUUGAGUACAGGAGAGGUGAUCGGAAUUCCUUGUGUAGCGGUGAAAUGCGUAGAUAUAAGGAAGAACACCAGUGGCGAAGGCGGAUGACUGGACGGCAACUGACGGUGAGGCGCGAAAGCGUGGGGAGCAAACAGGAUUAGAUACCCUUGUAGUC
rnacentral:rRNA from 1 species